AGGAGGCGCGGGGAGAUGGGACACAGGCCUGGGGUCAGGCCCUCGGACAUGUUCAACUUGGAAGUACCCCUCCCGGCCCCCACCUUGGAGCUGUUUUCAGUGCCGUAAUCCUGGGUUCUGGCAUCAGAGCCGUUGCCAUGGGGACCUCGGCGAUUCAGCAUUUUGAUGAUGGGUUCAGUGGGGAAGAAGGGGAGAGGAGGGGGAGGCGAGAGGGAGGGGGGAGGGGGGCGGAAGUCUCGGGUUCUCUGGAUGGGGGAUGAGGAGGAAGUGGGAAGGGGGUAUAUUCGUUGCCCUCAGCUGAUGUAACAAACUGCCAACCACUGGGUAGCUUGAAAUAACAGAAAUGGAUCCUCUCCUGCAUCUGGAGGACAGACAUCCAAAAUCAAGGUCUCAGGUGAGCUUGGCUCCUACUGGAGGCUAAGGGAGCAUCUGUCCUGGGCCUGUCUCCUGGCUUCUGAUGUUGCCAGGGAUCCCUGGUGACUGUCCUUUGCCUGGUAGAGAUGUCACUCCCAUCUGUCUCCGUCUUCGCAUGGCCUCCUCCCGGCGUCCCUGUGUGUCUGCUCCUUUUCUGUCUCUCCAAGGACACUCGUCUUUUGAUCUAGGACCCACCCUAAAUCCAGGAUGACCUCAUCUCCGGGUCUUCAAUGACAUCUGCAGCAGCUCUUUUCCCGAAUAAGCUCACCUUCAUAGGUUCCAGGGAUUUGGAACUUGGGCAGGUCUUUUUGAAGAACACUUGGAUGGGGUGGGCAGUUCUGCUGGGAAUUUGCCUCUUUGCACCCCUCGACCAAUCUGUACCUCUCUUUUCCUCUCCCUCUCUCUCCCUCUCUCCCCCUCUCUCUCUUUCUCUCUCAGCCAUAUGUGGGAGUCAGGGAAAUGCGUCAUCUCUGUGUCUCAGUUUCCCCAGCUGUAAACUGGCCGAGAUAAUCAUUCCUUCUUCCAGGGCUGACAUGAGCAACACAGAACACAGAGCUUGAAGUCUGGGAAGCCCUCAGAACAGUGCUCAGCACAUACCUACCACUGAGUAGGCCCUGGGGAUCAUGAACAAAAUCAUAAAUAUCCCUGCCUCCUGAAGCUGAUGUCCUAGGAAAGAUGGAACCAGGGCCAUAAACAGUGGACCAAUACAGAAGGAAGGAUACAGCAUGUUGGAAGGUGAUAAAUGCCAAAGAUAGGAGGAAAGUAGCUGGAAAGGGGGGAUAAAGAAAGAGUCCGGCGUUCCCGUCGUGGCUCAGUGGUUAACAAACCCUGCCCCCUAGGUCUAGGUUGAUCCUCGGAGCCUUGAAGUGGGGAUGGCCCUUUAGAGGUCACGCAGACGGGAGCAAGGAGGCUGAGCCUUUGCACCCCUGGGGAGGAGGUCCAACCUGGGGCAUCAGCCAUCAACACUCCCAGCAACUAGUGGGUGGAGAAUGUGUUGGCCCCGGAGAGGUCCUGGCUGCAUGCUGGCACACCCAGCACAGGUGAGAGGACCAGCUGAGAGGGAUGACGUACAUGAAAUUGGAAAAUUGCUGGGCCCUUGAAGGAUGCUAAAAAAAAAAAAAUUGGGAUUGGUAGGAUUCUGAAAGGUGAUGCUCCCUCCCCUGGGAAAGAGUUUCUUCCCUUGCCAUCCAGGACCUCACAUGUUCUCGUUUCCCCUCCUGCGUCCCUGGCACCAUGGCUGGUUCCUCCUCAUCCCCCGACCUUUAAAUGCAGGUGUGCUUCUAGACACAGUCCUUGGACCACUUUUCUCCGCCAAUUAUGCACUGUCUCAUCCAUUCUCAAGCCUUUAAAUACCAUUUAUAAGCUGAAGACUCUUAAAAUUUUAUCUCCAGCUUGGACCUUGUAUUGAACUCCAGACUCAUAUAUCCAACUGCCUACUCGAUAUCUCUCUCUACUUAUAUGUCUAAUAGGCUGUGGCCACCGUGGGAAUGCGCUGCUCACACCUCUGGUUACAGGAAUGGGGUAGCUGACAUCCCUGGACCCAGCCUCACGCCCACUGAGCCAUGCAUCCUGCUCAGCAUCCCCUGGGGUGAGUGAGAGAGAAGCCAGUACACAACAGGUUCAUUCUUAUGGGAUGUGAACACCCUUGAUGAGUGAUUUUGGCUCGAGGAUGCCCCCCCAGUGGCCUGGCUGAACCAGUCUUAGAACUGCGCUGUGUCUCUGGGAUCUCCCUCCCAGGUCCUCCUUCUCACUUGCUCUCUUGUCACAGGAGACAACCCUGCAUCACCCUGUGGGAUCUCCCCACCUACCACUGCCCCCCUGCCCAAUCCCUCACAGCCAUUACCCCUGGAAGUCUCUUGCCUGAUCUGGUCCUGUCUCUGGAGACAGUCCUCUCUCUAGUCCUCCAAGGAGCCUGCCCCAUCUCAAACUUCAAAUGUUCUAAACCAGAGGAACCAACUCCCUUUCCCCUCUAAAUACCUCCAGUCUUCAUCUUAAUACAUGACGACAAUCUUCAGUUGUUCAAGUUAAAAAACAGUGGUAAAUUAGGGGCUAGGGACUGAUAUAGACACACAAUUAUAUAUAAAAUAGCUAACAAGGACCUAUGGUAUAGCAUGGGGAAAUUUACUCAAUACUGUAUAAUAAUCUAAGUGGGAAAAGAAUCUGAAAAGGAAUGGAUAUAUGCAUAUGCAUAACUGAUUUACUUGGCUGUAUGCCUGAAAUUAACACAACUUUGUAAGUCAACUAUAUUCCAAUAAGACAAAAUUUUAAAAACCCCGAUGCACCAAAACCUGUUGGCUUCCACUUCAGAGCCUCUCCAGAGCUGGAUGUGCCUGGCUCUCCACCGCUCCUGCACCAGCCCAAGCUGACGUCAUCUCCCAUCUGCAUUGUCACAAAACCCUCUUCUCUGGACAGUCAUCGCUUCAUUCUUGCCCUGCCCCUCCCUUGGGCUGUCGUCAACAAGCAGCUGAGUGACCCUGUUGAGCUGAGAUGUCAGAUCAUCUCCUGGGGCCAGAGGCUCACAUGUAAAAGCCCUGAGCUGCCUUGAUGGUCCCUCCCCACCCCCUCUCCACACACCCUUUGCUGUUCACCUUCAGGCCAGCAUCCACCUUAGGGCUGUCGUCAUCCUCCUGCUCCUUGUUCUCACGCUCAUCCUCUCCUCUCUCUUGGGCUUUCACCCAGCUACCAUCCUUCAGGCUUUCCCUGCCCAGCCCAGCCCACAUGCCACUCUUCCCCAUCCCAUGCAAAUUCUGACAUCAGUUUUUGCUUUUUAAAUGUGUGGAUUGGUCUGACUCAUGCCAUUAGAACAGAAGCUCCAUGGAAGCAGGAUUUGGGUCUCUGUUCCUCCCCAUCCCCAGGUCUGCUCAGUGUCUGGGCCAUAGCAGGUGCUCCACAAAUAUUUGGUGAGGGAAUAAAGAGUGAACUCACCGUAGUACCUGAUGCAGAACGGUAUUUGAUAAAUAUUAGCCUUAUGAAAUUUUGUUUGCUUUUAUUUCAUAAAAUUCAGGAAUCUGUAGAGCAAGAAACAAAAAUAACCUAUAAUCCCACUUUUUGAUACCCCCUAUUGACAUUUUUAAAAAGAUAAAAAUAAUACAUGUAGACAGUUAGAAAAUCCUAUUAAGUAUCAAAAGGCACAAGAUGUAAAGAAAGAGGCUUCCACUGCAACUCCUGAAUACCUCUCCCCCCCAACCCCGGCAGCCCCACGAGGGUGUCAUUUCGUCUGGGGUGAGAUGGGCUCAUCCACUGGGGAGGGGGCGCAGGCAUGGCCAGGGAAGAAGCUGGAGACUGUUGGACUUCAAGGCCCCUUCAAGGAGAUUGGACUCAAAGCCUCUGGCCAAGACAAGAAUUAUCAGACCCUUAUCAUCUCCCACCUGUCUCAUUGUAAUGCCCCCUCCCCACCUUGAGCAACCUGGCUGCUCCUUCCUGUCCCCUCCUAGGAAAGGUUUGUGACCCAUUCCUCACCCUGCCCCUGUAGGGGCCUUAUACGCCCCCAACCAACUGCAAUUGUAGUGUAAGACUCCUCUUUCCCCAUCCAAUCGGCAGGUCAGCAGGUGUAUCCUGAGACCUCUCUUCUCUCUGGGCUAUAGAAGCAGACUUGACCAUGAACUCGAGUCGGCACUCCCUGAUUAUUAGGAAGUCUUCCCACUGCGCUAGCAGCAUCUUUCACGUCAAUAAACUCUUCUUUCUCU
rnacentral:lncRNA from 1 species